rnacentral:rRNA from 1 species
GUGCGUAGGUGGUGACGUAAGUCGGAUGUGAAAUCUCGGAGCUUAACUCCGAAAUGGCAUUGGAAACUGCGUUGCUAGAGGGUCGGAGGGGGGACUGGAAUGCUUGGUGUAGCAGUGAAAUGCGUAGAUAUCAAGCGGAACACCAGUGGCGAAGGCGAGUCCCUGGACGACUCCUGACACUGAGGCACGAAAGCUAGGGGAGCAAACAGGAUUAGAUACCCUGGUAGUCCUAGCUGUAAACGGUGCACGUUUGCUGUAAAAGGAAUCGACCCCUUUUGUGGCGUAGCCAACGCGUUAAACGUGCCGCCUGGGAAGUACGGUCGCAAGAUUAAAACUCAAAGAAAUUGACGGGGGCCUGCACAAGCGGUGGAGUAUGUGGCUCAAUUCGAUGCAACGCGAAGAACCUUACCUGGCCUUGACAUGUACGUAGUAGAAGGAUGAAAGUCUGACGAGGUAGCAAUACCAGCGUACACAGGUGCUGCAUGGCUGUCGUCAGCUCGUGUCGUGAGAUGUUGGGUUAAGUCCCGCAACGAGCGCAACCCUUGUGUCCUGUU